GAUGAAGAACGUAGCGAAAUGCGAUACGUAAUGUGAAUUGCAGAAUUCAGUGAAUCAUCGAGUCUUUGAACGCACAUUGCGCCCCCUGGUAUUCCGGGGGGCAUGCCUGUCCGAGCGUCAUUGCUGCCCUCAAGCAAGGCUUGUGUGUUGGGCCUCCGUCCUCCUCCCGGGGGACGGGCCCGAAAGGCAGCGGCGGCACCGCGUCCGGUCCUCGAGCGUAUGGGGCUUCGUCACCCGCUCUUGUAGGCCCGGCCGGCGCUUGCCGACACAUCAAUCUUUUUUCCAGGUUGACCUCGGAUCAGGUAGGGAUACCCGCUGAACUUAAGCAUAUCAAUAAGCGGAGGA
rnacentral:misc_RNA from 1 species